rnacentral:lncRNA from 1 species
UUCGGCGGUACAUUGGGACUCUAUACUACAGAGUUCAUGGGUGCUAAGGGUUUACUCCAAUUAUACUGGUACAUCUACUACUCGCCAUCUUUUUUCUGGGUAGACCUCACGACGAGUACGAUGCCUUAUGACGUGAGUCGAUCGAAGGCGACUUCACUACCUCCAGCUUUGAGAUAUAUUCAUGCCAUCUUGGCCCACACAUUGACCGAUCAGAGGGAAAGCACCAGAGUCGUCGGUACCACUGAUGCUUAUUUUCUAUGAAGUAUGGCCAUGAGGUGCACCUUUGAUCUUGCUUAUUUCAUCG